rnacentral:tRNA from 1 species
GCCCCCUUAGCUCAGUUGGUUUAGAGCGCGUGAUUUGUAAUCUCGAGGUCGUCGGUUCGAAUCCGACAGGGGGCUCCA